UGGGGAAUCUUAGACAAUGGGGGAAACCCUGAUCUAGCCAUGCCGCGUGAGUGAUGAAGGCCCUAGGGUCGUAAAGCUCUUUCGCCAGGGAUGAUAAUGACAGUACCUGGUAAAGAAACCCCGGCUAACUCCGUGCCAGCAGCCGCGGUAAUACGGAGGGGGUUAGCGUUGUUCGGAAUUACUGGGCGUAAAGCGCACGUAGGCGGACUAGUCAGUCAGAGGUGAAAUCCCAGGGCUCAACCCUGGAACUGCCUUUGAUACUGCUAGUCUUGAGUUCGAGAGAGGUGAGUGGAAUUCCGAGUGUAGAGGUGAAAUUCGUAGAUAUUCGGAGGAACACCAGUGGCGAAGGCGGCUCACUGGCUCGAUACUGACGCUGAGGUGCGAAAGUGUGGGGAGCAAACAGGAUUAGAUACCCCCGUAGUCC
rnacentral:rRNA from 1 species